rnacentral:rRNA from 1 species
GAAUCUGCCUAGAGGUUGGGGACAACCACUGGAAACGGUGGCUAAUACCCAAUGUGCCUAUUCGUGAAAGAUUUAUCGCCUCUAGAUGAGCUCGCGUCUGAUUAGCUAGUUGGUAGGGUAAAAGCCUACCAAGGCAUCGAUCAGUAGCUGGUCUGAGAGGAUGAUCAGCCACACUGGGACUGAGACACGGCCCAGACUCCUACGGGAGGCAGCAGUGGGGAAUUUUCCGCAAUGGGCGAAAGCCUGACGGAGCAAUACCGCGUGAGGGAGGAAGGCUCUUGGGUUGUAAACCUCUUUUCUCAGGGAAGAAUGAUGACGGUACCUGAGGAAUAAGCAUCGGCUAACUCCGUGCCAGCAGCCGCGGUAAUACGGAGGAUGCAAGCGUUAUCCGGAAUGAUUGGGCGUAAAGCGUCCGCAGGUGGCAAUGUAAGUCUGCUGUCAAAGCGUCUGGCUCAACCAGAUAAAGGCAGUGGAAACUACAUAGCUAGAGUAAGGUAGGGGUAGAGGGAAUUCCUGGUGUAGCGGUGAAAUGCGUAGAGAUCAGGAAGAACACCGGUGGCGAAAGCGCUCUGCUGGACCUUAACUGACACUGAGGGACGAAAGCUAGGGGAGCG